rnacentral:rRNA from 1 species
AUUGAACGCUGGCGGCAGGCCUAACACAUGCAAGUCGAGCGGAUGAAGGGAGCUUGCUCCUGGAUUCAGCGGCGGACGGGUGAGUAAUGCCUAGGAAUCUGCCCGGGAGUGGGGGAUAACGUCCGGAAACGGGCGCUAAUACCGCAUACGUCCUGAGGGAGAAAGUGGGGGAUCUUCGAACCUCACGCUAUCAGAUGAGCCUAGGUCGGAUUAGCUAGUUGGUGGGGUAAAGGCCUACCAAGGCGACGAUCCGUAACUGGUCUGAGAGGAUGAACAGUCACACUGGAACUGAGACACGGUCCAGACUCCUACGGGAGGCAGCAGUGGGGAAUAUUGGACAAUGGGCGAAAGCCUGAUCCAGCCAUGCCGCGUGUGUGAAGAAGGUCUUCGGAUUGUAAAGCACUUUAAGUUGGGAGGAAGGGCAGUAAGUUAAUACCUUGCUGUUUUGACGUUACCAACAGAAUAAGCACCGGCUAACUUCGUG